GGUUAAGCGACUAAGCGUACACGGUGGAUGCCCUGGCAGUCAGAGGCGAUGAAGGACGUGCUAAUCUGCGAUAAGCGUCGGUAAGGUGAUAUGAACCGUUAUAACCGGCGAUUUCCGAAUGGGGAAACCCAGUGUGUUUCGACACACUAUCAUUAACUGAAUCCAUAGGUUAAUGAGGCGAACCGGGGGAACUGAAACAUCUAAGUACCCCGAGGAAAAGAAAUCAACCGAGAUUCCCCCAGUAGCGGCGAGCGAACGGGGAGCAGCCCAGAGCCUGAAUCAGUGUGUGUGUUAGUGGAAGCGUCUGGAAAGGCGCGCGAUACAGGGUGACAGCCCCGUACACAAAAAUGCACAUGCUGUGAGCUCGAUGAGUAGGGCGGGACACGUGGUAUCCUGUCUGAAUAUGGGGGGACCAUCCUCCAAGGCUAAAUACUCCUGACUGACCGAUAGUGAACCAGUACCGUGAGGGAAAGGCGAAAAGAACCCCGGCGAGGGGAGUGAAAAAGAACCUGAAACCGUGUACGUACAAGCAGUGGGAGCACGCUUAGGCGUGUGACUGCGUACCUUUUGUAUAAUGGGUCAGCGACUUAUAUUCUGUAGCAAGGUUAACCGAAUAGGGGAGCCGAAGGGAAACCGAGUCUUAACUGGGCGUUAAGUUGCAGGGUAUAGACCCGAAACCCGGUGAUCUAGCCAUGGGCAGGUUGAAGGUUGGGUAACACUAACUGGAGGACCGAACCGACUAAUGUUGAAAAAUUAGCGGAUGACUUGUGGCUGGGGGUGAAAGGCCAAUCAAACCGGGAGAUAGCUGGUUCUCCCCGAAAGCUAUUUAGGUAGCGCCUCGUGAAUUCAUCUCCGGGGGUAGAGCACUGUUUCGGCAAGGGGGUCAUCCCGACUUACCAACCCGAUGCAAACUGCGAAUACCGGAGAAUGUUAUCACGGGAGACACACGGCGGGUGCUAACGUCCGUCGUGAAGAGGGAAACAACCCAGACCGCCAGCUAAGGUCCCAAAGUCAUGGUUAAGUGGGAAACGAUGUGGGAAGGCCCAGACAGCCAGGAUGUUGGCUUAGAAGCAGCCAUCAUUUAAAGAAAGCGUAAUAGCUCACUGGUCGAGUCGGCCUGCGCGGAAGAUGUAACGGGGCUAAACCAUGCACCGAAGCUGCGGCAGCGACGCUUAUGCGUUGUUGGGUAGGGGAGCGUUCUGUAAGCCUGCGAAGGUGUGCUGUGAGGCAUGCUGGAGGUAUCAGAAGUGCGAAUGCUGACAUAAGUAACGAUAAAGCGGGUGAAAAGCCCGCUCGCCGGAAGACCAAGGGUUCCUGUCCAACGUUAAUCGGGGCAGGGUGAGUCGACCCCUAAGGCGAGGCCGAAAGGCGUAGUCGAUGGGAAACAGGUUAAUAUUCCUGUACUUGGUGUUACUGCGAAGGGGGGACGGAGAAGGCUAUGUUGGCCGGGCGACGGUUGUCCCGGUUUAAGCGUGUAGGCUGGUUUUCCAGGCAAAUCCGGAAAAUCAAGGCUGAGGCGUGAUGACGAGGCACUACGGUGCUGAAGCAACAAAUGCCCUGCUUCCAGGAAAAGCCUCUAAGCAUCAGGUAACAUCAAAUCGUACCCCAAACCGACACAGGUGGUCAGGUAGAGAAUACCAAGGCGCUUGAGAGAACUCGGGUGAAGGAACUAGGCAAAAUGGUGCCGUAACUUCGGGAGAAGGCACGCUGAUAUGUAGGUGAAGUCCCUUGCGGAUGGAGCUGAAAUCAGUCGAAGAUACCAGCUGGCUGCAACUGUUUAUUAAAAACACAGCACUGUGCAAACACGAAAGUGGACGUAUACGGUGUGACGCCUGCCCGGUGCCGGAAGGUUAAUUGAUGGGGUCAGCGCAAGCGAAGCUCUUGAUCGAAGCCCCGGUAAACGGCGGCCGUAACUAUAACGGUCCUAAGGUAGCGAAAUUCCUUGUCGGGUAAGUUCCGACCUGCACGAAUGGCGUAAUGAUGGCCAGGCUGUCUCCACCCGAGACUCAGUGAAAUUGAACUCGCUGUGAAGAUGCAGUGUACCCGCGGCAAGACGGAAAGACCCCGUGAACCUUUACUAUAGCUUGACACUGAACAUUGAGCCUUGAUGUGUAGGAUAGGUGGGAGGCUUUGAAGUGUGGACGCCAGUCUGCAUGGAGCCGACCUUGAAAUACCACCCUUUAAUGUUUGAUGUUCUAACGUUGACCCGUAAUCCGGGUUGCGGACAGUGUCUGGUGGGUAGUUUGACUGGGGCGGUCUCCUCCUAAAGAGUAACGGAGGAGCACGAAGGUUGGCUAAUCCUGGUCGGACAUCAGGAGGUUAGUGCAAUGGCAUAAGCCAGCUUGACUGCGAGCGUGACGGCGCGAGCAGGUGCGAAAGCAGGUCAUAGUGAUCCGGUGGUUCUGAAUGGAAGGGCCAUCGCUCAACGGAUAAAAGGUACUCCGGGGAUAACAGGCUGAUACCGCCCAAGAGUUCAUAUCGACGGCGGUGUUUGGCACCUCGAUGUCGGCUCAUCACAUCCUGGGGCUGAAGUAGGUCCCAAGGGUAUGGCUGUUCGCCAUUUAAAGUGGUACGCGAGCUGGGUUUAGAACGUCGUGAGACAGUUCGGUCCCUAUCUGCCGUGGGCGCUGGAGAACUGAGGGGGGCUGCUCCUAGUACGAGAGGACCGGAGUGGACGCAUCACUGGUGUUCGGGUUGUCAUGCCAAUGGCACUGCCCGGUAGCUAAAUGCGGAAGAGAUAAGUGCUGAAAGCAUCUAAGCACGAAACUUGCCCCGAGAUGAGUUCUCCCUGACUCCUUGAGAGUCCUGAAGGAACGUUGAAGACGACGACGUUGAUAGGCCGGGUGUGUAAGCGCAGCGAUGCGUUGAGCUAACCGGUACUAAUGAACCGUGAGGCUUAACCUU
rnacentral:rRNA from 2 species